rnacentral:tRNA from 3 species
GCGGUCGUGGCGGAAUGGCAGACGCGCUAGGUUGAGGGCCUAGUGGGAGUUUAUCCCGUGUGAGUUCGACUCUCACCGACCGCA